rnacentral:rRNA from 1 species
AUUGAACGCUGGCGGCAUGCCUUACACAUGCAAGUCGAACGGCAGCAUGGAGAGCUUGCUCUCUGAUGGCGAGUGGCGAACGGGUGAGUAAUGCAUCGGAACGUACCGUGUAAUGGGGGAUAACAUAGCGAAAGUUACGCUAAUACAGCAUACGACCUGAGGGUGAAAGCAGGGGAUCGCAAGACCUUGCGUUAUACGAGCGGACGAUGUCAGAUUAGCUAGUUGGUGGGGUAAAGGCUCACCAAGGCGACGAUCUGUAGCGGGUCUGAGAGGAUGAUCCGCCACACUGGGACUGAGACACGGCCCAGACUCCUACGGGAGGCGGCAGUGGGGAAUUUUGGACAAUGGGGGCAACCCUGAUCCAGCCAUGCCGCGUGAGUGAAGAAGGCCUUCGGGUUGUAAAGCUCUUUCGGCCGGGAAGAAAUCGCACAGGCUAAUACUCUGUGUGGAUGACGGUACCGGCAUAAGAAGCACCGGCUAACUACGUGCCAGCAGCCGCCGUAA